ACUUUACACCACAUUCGCCCGGGAAUACAGCCAAGCUUAAAACCCAAAGGACUUGACGGUACCCCAUAUCCCCCUAGAGGAGCCUGUCCAAUAAUCGAUAAUCCACGUUUAACCUCACCAUUUUUAGCCUAUUCAGCCUGUAUACCUCCGUCGCCAGCUUACCACGUGAGCGUUAGUGAGUCUAAUGUUUUAUCAACAAUACGUCAGGUCAAGGUGCAGCUCAUAAAAUGGGAAGAGAUGGGCUACACUUUUUAUUUUAGACAAUACGAAAGAUUACUUAUGAAAAGUAAUCAGAAGGUGGAUUUUGGCAGUGGGAUAGAGUAACCGAAUAUUCGGCCAUCAAC
rnacentral:rRNA from 1 species